rfam:Neurospora crassa OR74A unplaced genomic scaffold supercont12.8, whole genome shotgun sequence.
UAACUUCGGAUUAAGUAGGAAUACCUAUUAAAUUUAAGUAUAUUAAUAAGCAGAGGAAAAGAAACUAAUAGGGAUUGCCUUAAUAAUAGUAAGUAAAGCGGUAAUAAUUUAAAUUUAAAAUCUAGCUUCGGUUUGAAUUAUAAUUUAUAAAGGAAGCUUUUAGUAAAGUACCUUCUAAAUCCCCUAAAACGGAGCGCUAUAGAAGGUGAGAGCCCUAUAUAGUUAGAUGCUAAUCUAAUAUAAAGCUCCUUCGAUAAAUUGAAUAAUUUAAGAAUAUUAUUUAAAAUAGGAAAUAAAUUUCUUUUAAAGCUAAAUACUAGCUAGAGAUUAAUAACGUAUAAAUAAAAUAAUUAAAAAAUAAAAAGUACUUUAAAAAAAGGGUUAAAUAGUAUAUAAAAUUAUUAAAAGGGAAGCGUUUAUAACCAGACUUGCACCGUUCCAAUUAUUCGGUAUUCUUACUAGUAUAUUCAGGACGGUUUAAACUAAUAUUAAUUUUAACGGGGGGAUAAAGGUCUAGGGAACGUAGCUCCUCCGAGAGUAUUAUAGCCCUGGGCGUAAUGCCUUCGCCGGGAUUAAGGUUUGUACAUUUAUAAGGAUACUAAUAUAAUAAUUAUUAAUAACCCGUUUUAAAAUAUAAAUUAAGGAGUUAAGGUUUUAUACGAAUAUUUAAAUAUAAAACCCGUAUAUAUAAUAAAAAUAAAUAUAAGUAAGAGCUUCGGCGUAUUAUUAACUAAUUUUAAUAUAUUCGGAUAGAUUUAAAUAAGAGUAUUAAACCUUAAACCCGAAAGAUAGUGAAUUAUACUUAGAUAGGGUAAAGCUAGAGGAAAUUCUAAUAGAAGUUUAUAACGGUUCUAAUAUAUAAAUCGAUUGUUAAAUUUAAAUAUAGGGGCGAAAGAUUAAUCGAAUUAUCUAAUAGCUAAUUACUACCGAAAUUUCCCUUAGAAUAGUAAUAUUAUUCUUCAAUUUUAUAAAGUAAAGCGAAUAAUUAGGGAUUCGGAGGCGCUUUUUAGCCUUUAUCUAUUUUUAAACUUUAAAUAUAUAAGAAGCCCUUAUUAUUUAAUUGAAUAUAGGUAUUCGAAUAUAUUAAUAUUAGUAGGCUAUUUUUAGUAAAUAGAAUUAGCAAUAUAAAAUAAACCGAACGCGGGGUUAAGGUGCCGGAAUAGACGCUUAUUAAAUACUAUAAAAAAUAUUAAUAUAUUUUAAUAGUAGGACGGUAGCUAUAGAAAUCGGAAUCCGCUAAGGACUAUAUAAUAAUUCACUUACCGAAUAUAUUAGCCCUAAAAAUAGAUAGCGCUCAAACGUCCCACUUAUACCCCGCCCUUAAAGUAGAAAUAAUACUCUAAAGAAUAAACGGCCGUAGAGGUCAAUAACAAAGCCUAGAGCAUAAGCCCGGGUCGAACGGCCUCUAAUACAAAUUUUAAUAGUAGUAGUAAAUACUUUAAUAAGAAUUUAAAGGACCGAAGUAGGGAAAAGUUUUAUAUAAAUAGCGGUUAGAUAUAAGUUAAUUAAUCUUAAGUUAUAGGGAAAUUCUAUUUUAAAGGAGCACUUAUACCUUGUAUAGCAAAAGGGAAGUUGGUUAAUAUUCCGGUACUUAGAUGUAGGUUUUAUAUAAUAAUGUAAUUAAAUAUAGAAAUAAUAGCGGAGGCUCCGGGUAGAAUUCUCUUUUCUUCUUAAUAAUUUAUUACUUUAAAAAUAAUUUAUUUAAAAAUAGGGUUUAAUAGCCGAAAGAGCCUAAUACUUCUAUCGGGUCCGGUAUAUUCUUAAUAUCCUUUAAAAAUCCGCAAGAAGGAAUAAUUCUUACGUUAAAUUAUACUUAUAAUUAUAAUAGGUCUCUAAAGUAAAUAGCCUCUAAUUAAUAGAAUAAUAUAAAUAAAGGAAGUCGGUAAAAUAAAUUUAUAAUUUUAAGAAAAGGAUUAACUCUAAGGGUUAAAUAUAUUAAGUUUUAGGUAAAUGCCCUAAGAGUAAAUUACUACUAGUUGGGCAACCGGCCAAUAAUUUUUAAUAUCCAGGUAUAAAAGCCUUUAAUAAACUUCGGUUGUCUAGCGUACGUUUAAUAACCAAUUUAAAAUUAAUAUAAAUAGGGGGAAUCUAAUUAUUUAAUUAAAAUAUAGUAUUAUAAUAACUAGAAAAUAGUAUUAACGCAAUAUAAUUUCUACUUAGUAUUUUAAAUAUUAAAGUAAAGAAAUUUAAUUAAACGCAAGUAAACGGCGGAAGUAACUAUAAUUCUCUUAAAAUAAUUAAAUACUUCGUUAUUUAAUUAGUAACAUAUAUAAAUAGAUUAACGAAAUUCCUACUAUCCCUAUCUACUAUUUAACGAAACUACAACCAAAGGAAUAAAUUUAGUAGAAUUAGUAAAGAAAAAAAACCCUAUUAAAUUUAACUCUAAUUUAAUAUUAUAAAAAGAUAUAGGAAGUAUAGAAUAAGUAGGAGCUUCGGCGCUAGUAAAAUACUAUUAUUCCUAUUAUUUUUUUAUUUAUUUAAUUAAACGGGGCUGGAUUUUCGUCUAAUUUCUAAUUUUAAAAUCCUUUAUAGGCUAACCCAGGUUAAAGAUAUUAUUAAAUAAGGAAUUUAACUAAAGCAGCACAUCUAUUAAACUAUAAUAUAAGUAUUUUAAGGGGGGCUUAUAGAGAAUAGAAAUCUCUAGUAGAAUAAAAGGGUAAAAGUCCCUUUAAUUUUAAUUUUUAAUAUAAAUAUAAACUAUAAAAGUAUAGCCUAUCGAUCCUUUAAUCCCUCGAAAUUUAAAAUUAAAAGUACCAAAAAAAUUACUAUAGGGAUAAUUAAUUUAUAAUAGCCAAACGUUUAUAGUAAUAUUGCUUUUUAAUCCUUCAAUAUCAAUUCUUCCUAUUAUACCGAAAUAGAAUUUAAUAAAUAUUAAAUUAUUCACUUACUAAUAAGGAACAUAAACUAGGUUUAGACUAUUAUAAAAUAAAUUAAUUUUACCCUACUAAUAACCUUAUUAUAAUAAUAAUUAAACUUAAUAUAAAAGGAACCGCUUAUUUAAAUAAUUGGUUUUUACAAUUAUCUAACCGAAUAAUACCGUAAUACUACUAUUUAUUAAAUAAUAGCUAAACGCCUCUAAAUUAAAAUCUAUAUUAAAAUAUAAUAAUACUUCUAAUAUAUUAUAAACGUAUAAGAAUAGGCUCCGGCCUUGUAUCUUAAUAGGCAAUUCCUCUAUUAACCUUAAAGUAGCUAGUAGUAAUUUACAUAUUAUAAUUUUAAUAUACAUUAGAUUAAAUCUUUUAUAAACAAUUUAAAUAUACAAAAGGGUCCUAUAAGUAAUAGAAUAGUCUUAUUAUUACAAUUUACUAAGGGUAAGCCCUCCUUCACUUAAAUUUCC